UACGGAGGGUGCAAACGUUGCUCGGAAUUAUUGGGCGUAAAGCGCACGUAGGCGGUCCCUCAAGUCGGGUGUGAAAGCCCUCGGCUUAACCGAGGAAGUGCAUUCGAAACUAAGGGACUUGAAUACUGGAGAGGAUGGCGGAAUUCCCGGUGUAGAGGUGAAAUUCGUAGAUAUCGGGAGGAACACCAGUGGCGAAGGCGACUUCCUGGCCUGUUCUUGACGCUGAGGCGCGAAAGCUAGGGUAGCAAACGGG
rnacentral:rRNA from 1 species